AUGAACGCUGGCGGCGUGCCUAAUACAUGCAAGUCGCGCGAACAGACGAGGAGCUUGCUCCUCUGACGUUAGCGGCGGACGGGUGAGUAACACGUGGAUAACCUACCUAUAAGACUGGGAUAACUUCGGGAAACCGGAGCUAAUACCGGAUAAUAUAUUGAACCGCAUGGUUCAAUAGUGAAAGACGGUUUUGCUGUCACUUAUAGAUGGAUCCGCGCCGCAUUAGCUAGUUGGUAAGGUAACGGCUUACCAAGGCAACGAUGCGUAGCCGACCUGAGAGGGUGAUCGGCCACACUGGAACUGAGACACGGUCCAGACUCCUACGGGAGGCAGCAGUAGGGAAUCUUCCGCAAAGGGCGAAAGCUUGACGGAGCAACGCCGCGUGAGUGAUGAAGGUCUUCGGAUCGUAAAACUCUGUUAUUAGGGAAGAACAAAUGUGUAAGUAACUAUGCACGUCUUGACGGUACCUAAUCAGAAAGCCACGGCUAACUACGUG
rnacentral:rRNA from 1 species